GCCCCCGAGCGUUCGCGAAUUCACGAAUCCACGAACGCGCCGCCGCCCGACCUGCCAUCUGGCGGCGGAUUCCGGAAGCUCAGACCAUAACAAGAGGCGUCGACGGCGGCAAAGUUGAACGUCCUUCGGAUUCAGUGAAAUUUAUUAUAGUAACAACACCAUGGUCCCUGUGCUCUGAGCUUCAACAAAGGUAUUGAAAGGAAGGAGAACCUUUAGUCUAAGUGAUGUCAAAUAAUACCA